ensembl:snRNA U4 U4 spliceosomal RNA
AGCUUUGCGCAGUGGCAGUAUAGUAGCCAAUGAGGUUUAUCCGAGGUGCGACUAUUGCUAAUAGUUGAAAUACAUGUUUUAUGUUAUAUAUAUUUUACCACAAUAAAAAAUGAUUAAAAAAUUUUGGCGUUGGGGCACCUG